GACUAAGGCUGCCCAGCACCUGAACGAGCCCGAUCCCAUCUGAUCUCGGAAGCUAAGCGGGAUCAGGCCUGGUUAGUACUUGGAUGGGAGACACCUAGAAAGACCAGGUGCUGUAGGUG
rnacentral:rRNA from 1 species